UUGAGUUAUCGCAUCCUACAAGAUAUAAUUUAUCUACUGACUUUCGCCCAAGGUCGGCUGUUUUUGUUCUAAAACUGAUUUUUAUUCUCGAGCACCUUUGUAAAAGAUUUAAUUUUUUUAGUGCCUCACAUGGACAGACACGAUUAGCUUGAAAUGAAGUGGCUAAGUAGUCCAAAGACUGUCUUAGACCAACUGCAGAUCAAGACAAGACUGUCUACACUCUUUCGCCGCGCACUCGAGUACUUCGGUCAUAUUGCUCGGAAAACACCCGAUAGCUUAUUAGAGAGACUAUUCGAGACAGGGAAGAUCGAGGGAAAGAGAUCGCGCGGGCGCACUUCGACAAGGUGGUUGGAUCAAAUCCGCACCACACUAGAGAUCCCAUUCCACGAAGCCCUUCAUGCUACCAAUGAUCAGAGGCGCUGGAGGUACAUUACAAGGAGUAAAAUCCUGUCGAAAUAUUAUGGUCACGACCCUUAGCAGUGACAAACCGACGCGAGGUGGAGUCCAAAGACGUCAGUCAAAGCGUGUCUUUUUUUUCGGCCAGGGGACCGAGUCUCUUAUGAGGUGUCCGCACUGGGAGGCACGCGGAGUAUGUGGGACUUGACAGUCUCCAGAGGUUGGGAGCAGACCGCGGGACCAAGAUUUAGAUGGCUCGAGUUCACAUCCUCACACCUACUGCUAAAUGAUCACUGGAGCCAAUUAAUAGAGGCGGGAUGGUGCUAUUUAGAAGUCACAGAUCACUAUAGUGUCACUAAUAAUUCUAGCCGAAAUGAAUAGAUUGUUAUUGUAGGAAAUGUUGUUGCAUUUUCUCGGAUUUAAAGUUAAUCACUGAAAGAAUUGCGAGGUUGA